GCUCACCUGAUAACUCUCUCUCUCUCUCUCUCUCUCUCUCUCUCUCUCUGUGUGUGUGUGUGUGUGUGUGUGUGUGUGAGAGAGAGAGAGAGAGAGAGAGAGAGAGAGAGAGAGAGAGAGACUGGAGGA